rnacentral:rRNA from 1 species
UACAGAGGGGGCAAGCGUUGUUCGGAAUUACUGGGCGUAAAGGGCGCGUAGGCGGCCGCCUAAGUCAGACGUGAAAUCCCUCGGCUCAACCGGGGAACUGCGUCUGAUACUGGGUGGCUUGAAUUCGGGAGAGGGAUGCGGAAUUCCAGGUGUAGCGGUGAAAUGCGUAGAUAUCGGGAGGACACCGGUGGCGAAGGCGGGCGACCUGGGUAGAUA